rnacentral:lncRNA from 1 species
UAUCAAUUGUAGAUUUUUGGUUUGCAGUUAUUCUGAAGUUUUGAUGUAAGAGUCUAUAUGUAUAUGAGAUUGUUUUAAGUUGUUGUUCUCUUAAUUGCAAGUUCAUCUCCAGUGUCCUGCAUUUGUACCCACCUCUUCUCAUGAUUUCUGAUUUUGGUGGUAUAAUUGUGCAUGGAUGAUUUCGUAUCUUUACUGUAUAUAUACCUUUACUGGUGAGCCUUGUCAUUUGUGGAAUUUUUGUUUCCUGUUGCUGUCCUUUUCUUUCUGCCUAGAGAAGUUCCUUUAAUAUUUGUUGUAAGGCUGGUUUAGUGUUGCUGAAUUCUCUCAGCUUUUGCUUAUCUGUGAAGGUUUUGAUUUCUCCUUCAAAUCUGAAUGAGAGCCUUGCUGGGUAGAGUAAUCUUGGUUGGAGGUUUUUUCCUUUCAUCACGUUAAGUAUAUCAUGCCACUCCCUUCUGGCCUGCAGAGUUUCUGCUGAAAAAUCUGCCGAUAACCUUAUUGGGGUUCCCUUGUAUGUUACUUGUUUCUUUUCCCUAGCUGCUUUCAAGAUUUUCUCUUUGUCUUUAAUUUUGGUCAGUUUGAUUAAUAUGUGUCUCGGUGUAUUCCUCCUUGGGUUUAUUUUAUAUGGUACUCGUUGUGCUUCCUGGAUUUGAGUGAGUGGUUCCUUUCCCAUGUUAGGGAAGUUUUCGGCUAUUAUCUCUUGGAAUAUUUUUUCUGUCCCCUUCUCUCUCUCUUCUCCUUCUGGCACCCCUAUAAUACGGAUGUUGGUGCGUUUCACAUUGUCCCAGAGUUCUCUGAGACUCUCUUCAUUUGUUUUCAAUCUUUUUUCUCUUUUCUGUUCUGCAUCCGUAAUUUCCACUAAUCUGUCCUCCACCUCGCUUAUUCGUUCUUCUGCCUCCUGUAUUCUGCUGUUAGCUGCUUCUAGUGAAUUUUUUAUUUCAGUUAUUGUAUUUUGCAUCUCUUCUUGUUUAAGUUUUAUAUCUUGUAUCUCUUUGGUCAGUGUUUCCUGUAAGUUAUCCAUCUUUGCCUCCAGUUUAUUUCCAAUGUCUUGCAUCAUCUUCAGCAUCAACAGUCUAAAGUCUUUUUCCUGGAGGCUGAGAAUCUCCUCAUCGCUUAGCUGAUUUUCUGGGGUUUUUCCUUUCUCCCUCAUCUGAGUUAUAGUUCUCUGUCUUUUCAUUUUUAUAGGUUUUUACUGUGGUGACCUUUUUAUAGGUAAUAGAGCUGUAGCCUCUCUUACCUCUGGUGUCUGCCCCCCUUCUGGCUGUAUGGGAGCUUGGUGUAGGCUUCCUGAUGGGAGGGGCUGAUGCCUGCCCACUGGUAGGUGGAACCAAUUCUAAUCUCUCUGGUGGGUGGGGCUUAGUCUCUGGAUGGGAUUCAGGGCUGCUCUGUGCCUGAGGCUCUUUAGGUAGCCUGUUUACUGAGGGGUGGGGCUGUGAUCCCACCUGGAUUGUUGUUUGCCCUGGGGCUUCUCAGCACUGACUGAUGGGUGGGGCCAGAUUUUCCCAAAAUGGCCACCUCCAGAGAAAGGCAACUGCUGAAUAUUCCCGAGAGCUUUGCUUUCAAUGUCCUUCCCUCACAACAAGCCACAUUCACCCCUGUUUUCCCAUGAUGUCCUCCAAGAACUGCAGUCAGGUUUGACCCAGAUUCCCAUGGAGACUUUGCUUUGCCCUGGGACUCAGUGCACAUGAAAGUCUGUGUGCACCUUUUAAGAAUGGGGUCUCUGUUUCCUCCAGUCCUGUGGAGCUCCUGUGCACAAGCCCCACUGGCCUUCAAUGCCAGAUGCUCCAGGG